rnacentral:rRNA from 1 species
UACGUAGGGGGCUAGCGUUAUCCGGAAUUACUGGGUGUAAAGGGUGCGUAGGUGGUUUCUUAAGUCAGAGGUGAAAGGCUACGGCUCAACCGUAGUAAGCCUUUGAAACUGGGGAACUUGAGUGCAGGAGAGGAGAGUGGAAUUCCUAGUGUAGCGGUGAAAUGCGUAGAUAUUAGGAGGAACACCAGUUGCGAAGGCGGCUCUCUGGACUGUAACUGACACUGAGGCACGAAGGCGUGGGGAGCAAACAGG